GACGAACGCUGGCGGCGUGCUUAACACAUGCAAGUCGAACGGAAGGGCCCUGCUUUUGUGGGGUGCUCGAGUGGCAAACGGGUGAGUAACACGUGAGUAACCUGCCCUUGACUUUGGGAUAACUUCAGGAAACUGGGGCUAAUACCGGAUAGGAGCUCCUGCUGCAUGGUGGGGGUUGGAAAGUUUCGGCGGUUGGGGAUGGACUCGCGGCUUAUCAGCUUGUUGGUGGGGUAGUGGCUUACCAAGGCUUUGACGGGUAGCCGGCCUGAGAGGGUGACCGGCCACAUUGGGACUGAGAUACGGCCCAGACUCCUACGGGAGGCAGCAGUGGGGAAUAUUGCACAAUGGGCGGAAGCCUGAUGCAGCAACGCCGCGUGCGGGAUGACGGCCUUCGGGUUGUAAACCGCUUUCGCCUGUGACGAAGCGUGAGUGACGGUAAUGGGUAAAGAAGCACCGGCUAACUACGUG
rnacentral:rRNA from 1 species